CAGUAGCCGCGGGAAUACGAGGGGGGCAAGCGUUGUUCGGAAUUAUUGGGCGUAAAGGGUGCGUAGGCGGCUUGACAAGUCUUGUGUGAAAUCUAUGGGCUCAACCCAUAGUCUGCACGGGAAACUGUCGGGCUUGAGAAUGGGAGAGGUGAGUGGAAUUUCCGGUGUAGCGGUGAAAUGCGUAGAUAUCGGAAGGAACACCUGUGGCGAAAGCGGCUCACUGGACCAUUUCUGACGCUGAUGCACGAAAGCUAGGGGAGCAAACAGGAUUAGAUACCCCAGUAGUCCCUGUCUCUUAUAC
rnacentral:rRNA from 1 species